GACGAACGCUGGCGGCGUGCUUAACACAUGCAAGUCGAACGGAAAGGCCCUGCUUUUGUGGGGUGCUCGAGUGGCGAACGGGUGAGUAACACGUGAGUAACCUGCCCUUGACUUUGGGAUAACUUCAGGAACCUGGGGCUAAUACCGGAUAGGAGCUCCUGCUGCAUGGUGGGGGUUGGAAAGUUUCGGCGGUUGGGGAUGGACUCGCGGCUUAUCAGCUUGUUGGUGGGGUAGUGGCUUACCAAGGCUUUGACGGGUAGCCGGCCUGAGAGGGUGACCGGCCACAUUGGGACUGAGAUACGGACCAGACUCCUACGGGAGGCAGCAGUGGAGAAUAUUGCACAAUGGGCGGAAGCCUGAUGCAGCAACGCCGCGUGCGGGAUGACGGCCUUCGGGUUGUAAACCGCUUUCGCCUGUGACGAAGCGUGAGUGACGGUAAUGGGUAAAGAAGCACCGGCUAACUACGUG
rnacentral:rRNA from 1 species